rnacentral:rRNA from 1 species
AUGCUUAAAUUCGUUGAGAAAUCAGGAUCCUAUACUUCAUUAAUUUGCCUAGACGAAAUACUUAUUAGUAUGAUUUGUAAUUCCAUUCACAUGUUUCAGGGUCCGGUCAUAGUGGCUUCAAGCUUUAUUUUUAACCUUCUUGUAGUAAUGGAUAAUUACAAGAACAUUCCUCAAUUCCUCUAUGGCUUAAGCCCAUCUCAGAUGGAAAUGUCUAAAACUGACGACAACCCUUAUAAUCGGCAGUCAAGGAAAGUUACAGAGAAAUCUUGGAUUCAUAAAUGGGAGAAGCACAUAAGGGAGAAGAAGAUGAUUGCAAGGAUGGAGAGGGAGUAA